rfam:Oryza glumipatula chromosome 3, whole genome shotgun sequence.
AAUAAGUGCAAUUUUUCACUAUUUAUUUCCAACGUUUGACCGUUCGUCUUAUUUAAAUUUUUUUAUAAUUACUAUUUUUAUUGUUAUUAGAUGAUAAAACAUGUAUAAUACUUUAUGUGGGCUAAUUUUUUUAAAGAAAAUCAUAAAUUUUUUAAAUAAAACGGACGGUCAAAUGGACACGAAUUUCCACGGCUGCACUUAUU